CGCCUCCAUCUACACUUGUUGGGAACCCAAUCUGCCUUUUCUGCUUCUUGUUGUUUGUUUUUUUUGUGUGUGUGUAGGGCAACGAGAUUCCUGAUUGCAGAUAUCGUAGUGUGAUGUCGUCGGUUCUACGUGAGAUUUUGAGAUCCAUCUUGAAGUUUUUCUUUCCACCACUUUAUUUAUUUUAUUCUCUGAAAAGCUUCCUCGAUUUCUUUUUUAUUCCGUGCCGAUGAUGAUUUACUAUUUCAAGUUGAAUUCGUUGAGAGAUUUGUGAUGUUCUUGAGGCGUUCAACUGAGGCCCGGCCGAACUGGAAUUUUAAUUAUUGCUUUGUGGUGCAUUGAAAUCUUGGCUUUAAUUUCAGUACCACAAAAUUAGACUUGUAUUCGUCUCAAUCUUUUUUAUUUUCCUUCCGAUUCUUAUUCGUCUAUUGUUUGUCCCUCAAAUGUGCUAAUGAUGCCGAAUUCUAUCUACGGUGAUAUGCACUGGAGACGUUCAACUAUGAGGCACGCCGCACACUGCUUGCUUCCUCCAUUUUGUAAUAUUUCCCUGCUUGCUUCCUCCAUUUUGUGUGGGGGUGAAACCAGGAAUGUUUGAAGCCCAUCCACUUCUACUGGUUCUGAUCUUUAGAUUUGAAGAUUCAAUCAGAAUCUUUUUUCUGUUACACGUGAGCGGCGGCUGCCAAGGAUCCGAUUCAGAACAAGUCGUAUAGGUGUGUUCAUCUAUUUUUUAUUUUCUACUUUUUUCCUUUACCUUUUUAUUUUAUUUCUUAUUUUCGUUUUUCAUCUAUUUUUAUUCAGAACAAGUCCACUUCUAUGUGUUUUUUAGUAUUAUUUUUAUUUUUUAUUCUUCUUUCACAUAACUUAUAUGCACACAAAUAUAUCAAAAAACGGUGAUUAUGGUUAAAAUUUCACCAUAUUCGCAUCCACAGAGUAAAAUCCUACGCACUCACAAGGCAAGUGCACCCUCCCUCUAGCUCCGCCACUGUAUGCACAAGUUGUAUAGAAUAAUUUAUGUAUACAAAUUGUGUUUGAUAACUUUUGUACAUAAACUUGUUUCAUAACUUUUAUGUUUUCAAGUUAAGUGGUAUAAGUUAUAAGUUAAUUCGUUCUUGCUAUGUUUUUUAGUUUUGGCGUAAGUCAUAAGUUGAUUCGUUCAUUUGUGUUUAGUAACUUUUAUACAUAAGUUGUUUCAUAACUUUUAUACAUAAGUUUUGAUAUAAGUCGUAAAUUAGUAUAUGCUGUAAUUUAGUACACAUAAAUUAUUACUAGAAUAAAAUUCUUUGAAAUAUAGGUCUAGUUUUAAUCACCUCAUUGUGUAGAAUACAACGGUGCAUAUAGAAUUAAAAAAUAGAUAUAACGUUCAGAAAGAUACCAUUUAAAGUUUUUUUUUCUUUAAUUUUCAAGGUGCCAUCAGGAGACUGGCUGCAUGCAGUAGUUGCUCGGCGCGUGCGCGCAUGUGAAAAAGAGAAUGACUGUAGUGCAGGGCGGUGGUGCUAUAAAAAAAAGAGAGGCAACGGUGGGCUUAUCCUCUUUGAUGGGCCUAUGUUUGGGCCACAAGCCCACGAGUCUCCCCGCUGGAGCAGGCAGCUUACGUCACUACGCCGCGGGCGCCGCGGCGGCCAGGCCAUUCCGUGAAGCGAGCUGCGGAGGCGGAGGCUUUGUCGGAGGCGACGAUCGGCGGCAGGAGGCUUGACGGAGGCAAGGCGUACGCCGCUCCUUUCCUGAGGAGCCUUAAGCUCACGGCGGCCGCCGGCUGGAGCAAACAACCACCAAGCUCACCAACCCUAGCCGGCUACCCCGACCGCAAGUUCACCACCAUAUGUUGGAAUGAGAGAUGCAGACAAGCAGUAGUAUGUUGGGCUCUGGUUUUCUCGAGUUCAAGCUUAACUACGCGCAAAUCCAUCACCUCGGCAUUGGGGACGUGGUCAGCUCCGAGAGCUUCUCCGCCGGGGGUUUCCUGUGGAGGAUUAACUGCUACCCGCGUGGGGACAAGGUAGAUGGCGACAACGAGCACCUAUCAAUCUACCUGCAGCUGCUGACCAAAUCCAAGAACGUCAGAGCCAUCUUCGAUGCUUCCGUGGUGUGCAGAGAUGGCACGCUGUCUUCUUCAGAUGCGCUCAGGUCCGUGGAGGUUUACCCACCCAGGGGCGGCAUCGAGCUGGGGUGGAAACGCUUCGUGAAGCGAAGUGAUCUCGAGUUGCUCUAUGUGAUUAAUGGCAGGGUCACAAUCUUGUGCGGGGUCAUAGUCAUUGACAGCACCUUGCCUGUGCCGCCGCAGCCUGACUUAGCAAGCCAUCUGGGCCACCUACUGGAUUCCGCUUUGGGGACAGAUGUGUCUUUCGUCGUCGGCGGUGAGGUGUUCCAUGCUCACCGUGCUGUGCUCGCAGCCCGAUCACCGGUCUUGAAAGCGGAGCUCUUUGGCGCAAUGGCAGACGCCGCAAUGCCAUCCAUCACGCUGCACGAUAUCGAGCCUGCUGCAUUCAAAGUUAUGCUCCAGUUCAUGUACACCGAUGCCUUGCCUUCGGAUGACGAGCUUGGAGACCCUCUCACUGAGAUGAUGAUGCAUUUGCUUGUUGCGGCUGACCGAUUUGCACUGGACCGUCUCAAGGUUAUUUGUGAACUCAAGCUAUGUGAGAAUGUCUCAGUCCAAACAGUUGCUUCUGUUUUAGUUUGCGCUGAGACGUACGGCUGUCCAAAGUUGAAGAGAGAGUGCAUGGACUUCUUUGCUGUGAAGAGAAAUUUCAUGAAGGCAGUGGCCACAGAUGGUUUUCUCAUGCUGUUGCAGAAAUUCCCAACACUUGCUGUUGAUCUGGCAAGGACGGUGGGGUUGUAGAAUGCUUAAAUCUCCACAUAUAUAUAGUUCAGAAGUUCGACUAUAUAUUUACUAGUGUUUUGGAAUCCCAGUGAGCACUAUCUCGUCUCCCUUAAUUUGGAGCAUAUUAGAGUAUGGAGUGCUUGAUGAACAGAGAGCCUGUUCUUUCAGCUAUACUUCUUGUAUUACUGCUUGAAGUUGCUGCAAUCUGAUAUAUGGAGAUGUAUCAAGUCGAGUUGCUACCAAGUGACAUAUGCAGUUUCGAUGAAGUUGCUGCCUACUGAUAUAUCAUGUCUUAUGAUGUUUCGAUCAAGUGCCGUAGGCAGACGUGCAGUUUCAAUGAACUUCAAGCCAACUGAUACAUUCAGUGCUCAAUUAAGUUGUUGCCAAAGUACCAAGUGAUGCCGCUAAGCGAAGCGAGGUGGGUGAUAAGGCAGUGCUCAAUUAGCCUAUAUGUUGUUCCUUUGGGGUUUCUUUUUGCUCUUGGGCUUGUCCUGUCCUGAACCUGGUUUCUGUUUUACAGCUCUCAAGAUGUAUAUUUCCUCUCACUAAGCUGAUAUCUGUCUAACUAUAUGUGAUCCUAGUUAAUUGCUGUUUGAAAGGUUGCUGGUGGCUUUGGCUUACCUCUUGAAUCUUGAUCCCACCAAAACUUUGUCUUCCCUUCCAGCUUGUUGCAGAUCUACGUCAAUUUCUAGAAUCAGAUUUGGGCUCUGACAGGCGUCUUUGAUUUGUUAAGUUUUAUUAGCUGUUCAAAUCGAUUGCUAUGGAACUUUGUUGCUUUGAUGUUCUUGUUGCUGCUUGCUCCUUGUGUGUGGAUUUCAAGCAUGGAAUUAACAUUGUGUUGUUCA